rnacentral:rRNA from 1 species
CUUGGUCACUUAGAGGAAGUAACGGUCGUAACAAGGUUUCCUUAGGUGAACCUGCGGAAGGAUCAUUACAAAUCUUCUGGGCCCGAAAGGGUCUCAUUUGCGCUUGUUGUGUUUGACAGAGUAUACUGUGACUAUAAAUUAGAGACAACUUUUAACGAUGGAUCUCUUGGCUCUUGCAACGAUGAAGAACGCAGUCAAGUGCGAUAUCUAGUGCGAUUUGCAUGAAUCUGUGAGUCAUCGAGUCUUUGAACGCAACUUGCGCCCAGCAAUGGGCAUGCCUGUUCGAGUACCACAAACCCUCUGUACACUACUUGUAGUGGACGCACUGGGCGCUGCCAGCGGCACGCCUGAAAUGCAGUUUGCAUAGUGGGGCCAUCCUGCGAGUCAUGAACGUCUGCCUAAGGUGUCUAGCUAUUAUCGGCUAGCCAUCCACUGGGCUGCGCUCGGCCGCGAGUUGGUACCCUUUUCAUGGUCUCGAAUCAGACAGGAUUACCCGCUGAACUUAAGCAUAUCAAUAAGCGGAGGA